rnacentral:rRNA from 1 species
GGUUCAGGACGAACGCUGGCGGCGUGCUUAACACAUGCAAGUCGAACGAGGAUCAUGGAGAGCUUGCUUGAAAUGAUUCGAGUGGCGGACGGGUGAGUAACGCGUGAAUAAUCUGUCCUGUACAGGGGGAUAACGCAUCGAAAGAUGUGCUAAUACCGCGUAGGACCACGGGUGGGCAUCCAGCUGAGGUGAAAGGAGCAAUCCAGUACAGGGUGAGUUCGCGUCUGAUUAGAUAGUUGGUGGGGUAACGGCCCACCAAGUCAACGAUCAGUAGCCGACCUGAGAGGGUGAUCGGCCACAUUGGGACUGAGACACGGCCCAGACUCCUACGGGAGGCAGCAGUGGGGAAUAUUGGGCAAUGGGCGAAAGCCUGGCCCCAGCAACGCCGCGUGAAGGAAGAAGGUUUUCGGAUUGUAAACUUCUGUCCUAUGUGAAGAGAUAGAGACGGUAGCAUAGGAGGAAGCCCCGGCUAACUACGUGCCAGCCGCAGC